rnacentral:rRNA from 1 species
AUUGAACGCUGGCGGCAUGCCUAACACAUGCAAGUCGAACGGGGCAGCAAUGCCUAGUGGCGGACGGGUGAGGAAUACGUAGGGAUCUGCCCUUAAGUGGGGGAUAACCGGGGGAAACCCUGACUAAUACCGCAUGAUCUCUUCGGAGCAAAGAGGGGGACCGCAAGGCCUCUCGCUUCUGGAUGAGCCUACGUCUGAUUAGCUAGUUGGUAGGGUAAAGGCCUACCAAGGCGACGAUCAGUAACUGGUCUGAGAGGAUGAUCAGUCACACCGGAACUGAGACACGGUCCGGACUCCUACGGGAGGCAGCAGUGGGGAAUAUUGGACAAUGGGCGCAAGCCUGAUCCAGCAAUGCCGCGUGUGUGAAGAAGGCCUUCGGGUUGUAAAGCACUUUAGCCUGGAAAGAAAAAACUUUGGUUAACACCCAAAGUCUUGACGGUACCAGGAGAAUAAGCACCGGCUAACUCUGUGCCAGCCGCCGCCGUAACAC